rnacentral:rRNA from 1 species
AUACGAAGGCUGCGAGCGUUAAUCGGAAUUACUGGGCGUAAAGCGCGCGUAGGCGGUUGGAUAAGUCGGAUGUGAAAGCCCCGGGCUCAACCUGGGAAUUGCAUUCGAAACUGUCCGGCUAGAGUAUGGUAGAGGGAAGCGGAAUUCCACAUGUAGCGGUGAAAUGCGUAGAUAUGUGGAGGAACACCAGUGGCGAAGACGGCUUCCUGGACCAAUACUGACGCUGAGGUGCGAAAGCGUGGGGAGCAAACAGGAUUAGAAACCCUAGUAGUCC